UACAGAGGUCUCAAGCGUUGUUCGGAUUCAUUGGGCGUAAAGGGUGCGUAGGCGGCGCGGUAAGUCGGGUGUGAAAUCUCGGAGCUUAACUCCGAAACUGCAUUCGAUACUGCUGUGCUUGAGGACUGGAGAGGAGACUGGAAUUCAUGGUGUAGCAGUGAAAUGCGUAGAGAUCAUGAGGAAGACCAGUGGCGAAGGCGGGUCUCUGGACAGUUCCUGACACUGAGACACGAAGGCCAGGGGAGCAAACGGG
rnacentral:rRNA from 1 species